UCAACUUUUGUAGGAUAAGAUCAAGUGAAGAAAGAUAAAAUAUCCCACACAUCGCAAGGAGUUGCGGUUGGCUUGAGUUUAGGGCUCAGGUUAGUGAUAUAAUAUUAUGUUAUGAGAGAAAAAAUAUUAGGUAAAACUAGAUCAUCACCUGGUUCAUAUUCCUAAACAAUAAAUCCCAAAGCACAUAAUCAAGGAUUUCCUUUGAUCAUUUUUAUAAGAAGCAAAAGUUGAAAUCUAUUUUAUAUGACAAUCAUGUUGGUAAUCAGUUUUGCAGAAUUUUGGUAAAUCAAUAAUGAAAUUGGAAAAUUUUAAAGUUGAAGUAGUUCGGUUAGCAAAUUGGGAGUUGCUUAGCACAAGCAUGAACAACAAGGAAGGUCACAGGGCAAGCAUUUAAAGGCUACUCGGGUAGAUCUGAAACUUGGUGCGCGCUUAGCAUGAAUUGAGUGUUCAACGAAUUAUUUUCAUUGUCAUAAAUUUAGGCUCAGCGCGCAAUCACUUGAACAAGUGCUGCUUUCAUAUGAGCACUUAGCUCGAAAGCUGGGCUAAGCCUGCAACCACUUAAACUAGUGCAACUUUUGUAUGCGCGAGCAAGUGCGUCCUAAGCGCACAUGUCUUUAUGGAUAAACGACAGUGCAACGCUCUUGGACCUAUUUAAGAACUUUUUCAUUUGAGACAAAGGGGGGAUCGACCUAGGUUUGGUGUGCAGCGACUAAACCUCCCGUCUAUCUCCAUCUUCCAUUUCCUCCAUUUCCCUUCAUUUUCUCCCUUCCAUUUAUAAUUUUGAGGCCUCUCAUAACAAUGAGAGGCUACUUUAUCCUUUGUUGGGGAAUUGAUGUAUUAAGUUUACUCUUAUGUAGUUAAUCUUCAUAUUUAUUCAAUGUUUAUUCAUGUGUUAUUAUUUCUUU